CAUAAUCCAAUUAAAAUUUUAUUAAUUAUAGCAAGUAGAAUAUGAGCAAAAACAGCGCUGGACGACAGGGGAGUCUGCGCUCCGCCACUGCCGUGCUGAGCAGUUCAAACAGUCCCUUUUUAUACAUCUUUACUUCCGUGUUCAUGAAGUAGUGGAGGUACUCUGCGCAUGCUUCAGUUGUUGUUAGGGGGUCGUUUUCUACCUCCUGGUGGUCGUUGAGGCCGAAGUAAGAAGUCUUUCUCCUUUAUCCCAUAGCUGACCCCUCAUUCACAUGUCCUUAUCUGGGGUUGUUUGUCCUGUUUCUGUCGGUUCCUGGAAGUCUGGCAGUUAUCUCGCGAUUGUGGUUAUCUUAUCUUACUCAAGCAGUGUCCGAGUUUCUGUCUGCAUAAGCAAUUUCACAUCUUUGUUGCCUAACCUUUACAUUGAGCUUAACAUAAAUCUUAAUAAACAAUAUCCUAGUCCAUAGUUUCUCACAAUCCCCCCUUUUUCUUUUUAUCCUAUUAUUGUUUAUUAGACGUUACUUUCAUUUUCGGCACUGCGAACAAACCUUUUUCCACAAUCCCAACAUUUAUCAUAACACUCACAAGGUAAUACCUCACAAUUACAAAAGGCAUAGUUCUCACGUGGCAUAAUGCAUUCACAACAAUCUUCAUCUUCAUUAAUAGAUACACUCUUAUAUUUUGCCCCAGACCUCGUAGUUAAAAUAAGCAGUUUAGCUAUGUCAAACCGUUCUUUAAUAAAGUGUAAAAUAUAACGUAAUAUACAAGGCCCAAAUAUGAGUCCCAAAAUCAACAUGAUAAGCGGUCCUGCUAAGGCGGACAACAAAGUGGUUAGCCAAGGUGAAACAUUAAACCAGUUUUCGUUCCAUGACUUGCCCGCCUCACGAUCUUUCUUACGUUGAUCUAACCUUUUCCGGAGUUCAGACAUGGUGUCCUGGACUACUCCAGUAUGGUCAGCAAAAGAGCAACAUUCUUCAUUGAGAGCUACACAUAACCCUCCUUCCUUUAAAAACAAUAGAUCUAAUCCUCUUCUAUUUUGCAGUACUACUUCUGAUAAAGACUUUACUGAAGUGGCUAAAUUUUGGAUAGAUUGUUCUAUUUUUGCUAAAUCUUCAUCUACAGCCAUCUGCAAACUUUGUAACUCCUGACCUUUCACUAGGGAGGCUAUGCCUGUACCUGCUCCAACUCCGCUCGCUAUCAGCAGGGUAGCUAGGGUUACUACUGUAAUUGGCUCUCGUUUUUGCCUAUUCAGGUCUCCUUCAAAGUGGCGUAACACCUCCUCAGAGGUGUGAUAGAUUAGACGAGGAACAAUAAUCACCUGUACGCAAAACUGAGAUUGAUCAAACACGUUUAGGGAUAGGCAAGGCGUUACUCCGAUGUCUGAACAAACCCAUUUAGCUCCUGGUGUCGGGAUAGCCCAUUUGUCAUUUUGAUUCUUGUGUUUCUCUAUAUUGGUG
rnacentral:lncRNA from 1 species